UACGAAGGGGGCUAGCGUUGCUCGGAAUCACUGGGCGUAAAGCGCACGUAGGCGGGUCGUUAAGUCGGGGGUGAAAUCCUGGAGCUCAACUCCAGAACUGCCUUCGAUACUGGCGACCUUGAGUCUGGGAGAGGUGAGUGGAACUCCGAGUGUAGAGGUGAAAUUCGUAGAUAUUCGGAAGAACACCAGUGGCGAAGGCGGCUCACUGGCCCGGUACUGACGCUGAGGUGCGAAAGCUAGGGGAGCAAACGGG
rnacentral:rRNA from 1 species